rnacentral:ncRNA from 1 species
GCUCUCGAGCCUGGAUAAUGGUGCAUGGAAUAAUGGAAUAGGACCUCGGUUCUAUUUUGUUGGUUUUCGGAGCGCGAGGUAAUGAUUAAGAGGGACAGACGGGGGCAUUCGUACUGUGCCGUUAGAGGUGAAAUUCUUGGAUCGGCGCAAGACGAACGACUGCGAAAGCAUUUGCCAAGAAUGUUUUCUUUAAUCAAGAGCGAAAGUCAGAGGUUCGAAGACGAUCAGAUACCGUCCUAGUUCUGACUAUAAACGAUGCCAACUAGCGAUCGGGGGGCGUUACAUUGACGACCCCUCCGGCAGCUUACGGGAAACCAAAGUCUUUGGGUUCCGGGGGAAGUAUGGUUGCAAAGCUGAAACUUAAAGGAAUUGACGGAAGGGCACCACCAGGAGUGGAGCCUGCGGCUUAAUUUGACUCAACACGGGAAAUCUCACCCGGCCCGGACACAGUGAGGAUUGACAGAUUGAGAGCUCUUUCUUGAUUCUGUGGGUGGUGGUGCAUGGCCGUUCUUAGUUGGUGGAGCGAUUUGUCUGGUUAAUUCCGAUAACGAACGAGACUCUGGCUUGCUAAAUAGUUACGCGACCCUGGUGCUCGCUCGGCGACUUGUCCUUGUUGGCACGGCGACCCGGAUCGAGGUCGGCGACGAUCGAAUCGAAAAAAGUUGAAGGCUCUUGGCGGUGGAUCACUCGGCUCGUGAGUCGAUGAAGGACGCAGCUAGCUGCGUGAUUUAGUGUGAAUUGCAGGACACAUUGAGCAUCGACGAUCUGAACGCGAAUUGCGGCCUCGGGUUAAUCCCGGGACCGCGCCCGCCUCAGGGUCGUGACGAACGAAAAGGAAUCGACGCUUUGAGCGU